rnacentral:siRNA from 1 species
GGCUGCUUUGUUGAGCCGUCAC